rnacentral:rRNA from 1 species
UACGAAGGGGGCUAGCGUUGCUCGGAAUCACUGGGCGUAAAGCGCACGUAGGCGGAUUCUUAAGUCAGGGGUGAAAUCCUGGAGCUCAACUCCAGAACUGCCUUUGAUACUGGCGAUCUCGAGUCCGGGAGAGGUGAGUGGAACUGCGAGUGUAGAGGUGAAAUUCGUAGAUAUUCGCAAGAACACCAGUGGCGAAGGCGGCUCACUGGCCCGGUACUGACGCUGAGGUGCGAAAGCGUGGGGAGCAAACAGG